AUACGGAGGAUGCGAGCGUUAUCCGGAUUUAUUGGGUUUAAAGGGAGCGUAGGUGGGAUAUUAAGUCAGCUGUGAAAGUUUGGGGCUCAACCUUAAAAUUGCAGUUGAUACUGGUUUCCUUGAGUACGGUACAGGUGGGCGGAAUUCGAGGUGUAGAGGUGAAAUGCUUAGAUAUCACGAAGAACUACGAGCGCGAAGGCAGCUCACCGGGCCGGAACUGACACUGAUGCUCGAAAGUGCGGGUAUCAAACAGGAUUAGAUACCCUGGUAGUCCGCACAGUAAACGAUGAAUACUCGCUGUUUGCGAUACACGGUAAGCGGCCAAGCGAAAGCGUUAAGUAUUCCACCUGGGGAGUACGCCGGCAACGGUGAAACUCAAAGGAAUUGGCGGGG
rnacentral:rRNA from 1 species